rnacentral:rRNA from 1 species
UGGGGAAUAUUGCACAAUGGGGGAAACCCUGAUGCAGCGACGCCGCGUGAGCGAAGAAGGUUUUCGAAUCGUAAAGCUCUGUCCUAUGAGAAGAUAAUGACGGUAUCAUAGGAGGAAGCCCCGGCUAAAUACGUGCCAGCAGCCGCGGUAAUACGUAUGGGGCGAGCGUUGUCCUGAAUUAUUGGGCGUAAAGGGUACGGAGGCGGUCUAUUAAGUCAGGUGUGAAAGCGUGAGGCUUAACCUCAUUAAGCACUUGAAACUGAUAGACUUGAGUGAAGGAGAGGAAAGUGGAAUUCCUAGUGUAGCGGUGAAAUGCGUAGAUAUUAGGAGGAAUACCGGUGGCGAAGGCGACUUUCUGGACUUUUACUGACGCUCAGGUACGAAAGCGGGGGGAGCAAACAGG